UACGUAGGGUGCAAGCGUUGUCCGGAAUUAUUGGGCGUAAAGAGCUCGUAGGCGGUCUGUCGCGUCGGCUGUGAAAACCCGGGGCUCAACCCCGGGCCUGCAGUCGAUACGGGCAGACUAGAGUGCGGUAGGGGAGACUGGAAUUCCUGGUGUAGCGGUGAAAUGCGCAGAUAUCAGGAGGAACACCGGUGGCGAAGGCGGGUCUCUGGGCUGGAAUUGACGCUGAGGAGCGAAAGUGUGGGUAGCAAACAGG
rnacentral:rRNA from 1 species